rnacentral:rRNA from 1 species
UACGUAGGGUGCAAGCGUUAAUCGGAAUUACUGGGCGUAAAGCGUGCGCAGGCGGUUAUGUAAGACAGUUGGGAAAUCCCCGGGCUCAACCUGGGAACUGCAUCUGUGACUGCAUAGCUAGAGUACGGUAGAGGGGGAUGGAAUUCCGCGUGUAGCAGUGAAAUGCGUAGAUAUGCGGAGGAACACCGAUGGCGAAGGCAAUCCCCUGGGCCUGCACUGACGCUCAUGCACGAAAGCGUGGGGAGCAAACAGG